GGAUGGAUUGCUUAUCCACAUCAUACUCUAAAACGCAAUUUUAAAAAAAAUGAAAAACUCUUCAUUGUUAAUUUAUGACAUAAAUAUAGGAAUCAUACCUGUUUUAUAUGUGAAUCUACUAUAUAUAUUAUGUUUUGAAUACACCAUAAAUCACAUCUAUGCAAGAAUUUCUUAAAUAAAAGAGAUUUGCUUUUAGAAUAAAUCGAGUUUUUAAUA
rnacentral:misc_RNA from 1 species